GGCUCCCUGUUGUUUAAUUUUAAUAUAGGGAGUCGAGCCUGCCCGGUGGCAUUCUGUGCUAAACGGCCGCAAUUUGUAAUUGUGCUAAGGUAGCGCAAUCAAUCGUCCUUUAAUUGGGGAAAGGUAUGAAAGGUUUGACGAGGGGGCUUCUGUCUCGGGAAUAAAUUCUGAAAUUUUCUUUUAAGUGAAAAGACUUAAAUUUUGCAAUAAGACGAGAAGACCCCGGUGAGCUUGAUUAUUCUGGGCUAAAUAGUUCCGAUGAAGUUUUGUUGGGGCAACAGGAAGGAAAAAAAACUCUUUCCAGGGAGAUGAGGAUCCUCUUUGAGUGAAUAAAGCAAAAGCUACCACGGGGAUAACAGCGUAAUUCUUUUUUAGAGAUCUAAUCGAAGAAGGAGU
rnacentral:rRNA from 1 species